rnacentral:rRNA from 1 species
ACCGGGGGAACUGAAACAUCUAAGUACCCCGAGGAAAAGAAAUCAACCGAGAUUCCCCCAGUAGCGGCGAGCGAACGGGGAGGAGCCCAGAGCCUGAAUCAGUGUGUGUGUUAGUGGAAGCGUCUGGAAAGGCGCGCGAUACAGGGUGACAGCCCCGUACACAAAAAUGCACAUAUUGUGAGCUCGAUGAGUAGGGCGGGACACGUGGUAUCCUGUCUGAAUAUGGGGGGACCAUCCUCCAAGGCUAAAUACUCCUGACUGACCGAUAGUGAACCAGUACCGUGAGGGAAAGGCGAAAAGAACCCCGGCGAGGGGAGUGAAAAAGAACCUGAAACCGUGUACGUACAAGCAGUGGGAGCCUCUUUAUGGGGUGACUGCGUACCUUUUGUAUAAUGGGUCAGCGACUUAUAUUCUGUAGCAAGGUUAACCGAAUAGGGGAGCCGAAGGGAAACCGAGUCUUAACUGGGCGUUAAGUUGCAGGGUAUAGACCCGAAACCCGGUGAUCUAGCCAUGGGCAGGUUGAAGGUUGGGUAACACUAACUGGAGGACCGAACCGACUAAUGUUGAAAAAUUAGCGGAUGACUUGUGGCUGGGGGUGAAAGGCCAAUCAAACCGGGAGAUAGCUGGUUCUCCCCGAAAGCUAUUUAGGUAGCGCCUCGUGAAUUCAUCUCCGGGGGUAGAGCACUGUUUCGGCAAGGGGGUCAUCCCGACUUACCAACCCGAUGCAAACUGCGAAUACCGGAGAAUGUUAUCACGGGAGACACACGGCGGGUGCUAACGUCCGUCGUGAAGAGGGAAACAACCCAGACCGCCAGCUAAGGUCCCAAAGUCAUGGUUAAGUGGGAAACGAUGUGGGAAGGCCCAGACAGCCAGGAUGUUGGCUUAGAAGCAGCCAUCAUUUAAAGAAAGCGUAAUAGCUCACUGGUCGAGUCGGCCUGCGCGGAAGAUGUAACGGGGCUAAACCAUGCACCGAAGCUGCGGCAGCGACACUAUGUGUUGUUGGGUAGGGGAGCGUUCUGUAAGCCUGUGAAGGUGGCCUGUGAGGGUUGCUGGAGGUAUCAGAAGUGCGAAUGCUGACAUAAGUAACGAUAAAGCGGGUGAAAAGCCCGCUCGCCGGAAGACCAAGGGUUCCUGUCCAACGUUAAUCGGGGCAGGGUGAGUCGACCCCUAAGGCGAGGCCGAAAGGCGUAGUCGAUGGGAAACAGGUUAAUAUUCCUGUACUUGGUGUUACUGCGAAGGGGGGACGGAGAAGGCUAUGUUGGCCGGGCGACGGUUGUCCCGGUUUAAGCGUGUAGGCUGGUUUUCCAGGCAAAUCCGGAAAACCAAGGCUGAGGCGUGAUGACGAGGCACUACGGUGCUGAAGCGACAAAUGCCCUGCUUCCAGGAAAAGCCUCUAAGCAUCAGGUAACAUCAAAUCGUACCCCAAACCGACACAGGUGGUCAGGUAGAGAAUACCAAGGCGCUUGAGAGAACUCGGGUGAAGGAACUAGGCAAAAUGGUGCCGUAACUUCGGGAGAAGGCACGCUGAUAUGUAGGUGAAGCGACUUGCUCGUGGAGCUGAAAUCAGUCGAAGAUACCAGCUGGCUGCAACUGUUUAUUAAAAACACAGCACUGUGCAAACACGAAAGUGGACGUAUACGGUGUGACGCCUGCCCGGUGCCGGAAGGUUAAUUGAUGGGGUUAGCGGUAACGCGAAGCUCUUGAUCGAAGCCCCGGUAAACGGCGGCCGUAACUAUAACGGUCCUAAGGUAGCGAAAUUCCUUGUCGGGUAAGUUCCGACCUGCACGAAUGGCGUAAUGAUGGCCAGGCUGUCUCCACCCGAGACUCAGUGAAAUUGAACUCGCUGUGAAGAUGCAGUGUACCCGCGGCAAGACGGAAAGACCCCGUGAACCUUUACUAUAGCUUGACACUGAACAUUGAGCCUUGAUGUGUAGGAUAGGUGGGAGGCUUUGAAGUGUGGACGCCAGUCUGCAUGGAGCCGACCUUGAAAUACCACCCUUUAAUGUUUGAUGUUCUAACGUUGGCCCGUAAUCCGGGUUGCGGACAGUGUCUGGUGGGUAGUUUGACUGGGGCGGUCUCCUCCUAAAGAGUAACGGAGGAGCACGAAGGUUGGCUAAUCCUGGUCGGACAUCAGGAGGUUAGUGCAAUGGCAUAAGCCAGCUUGACUGCGAGCGUGACGGCGCGAGCAGGUGCGAAAGCAGGUCAUAGUGAUCCGGUGGUUCUGAAUGGAAGGGCCAUC